rnacentral:rRNA from 1 species
UGAUCUAAAUCAGGCGGGAUUACCC